rnacentral:tRNA from 1 species
GCCUGCGUAGCCCAAUGGCAGAGGCGGCCGGCUUAGACCCGGUCUGGUGUUGGUUCGAGUCCAACCGCAGGUACCA